GUGGGGAAUAUUGGACAAUGGGCGAAAGCCUGAUCCAGCCAUGCCGCGUGUGUGAAGAAGGUCUUCGGAUUGUAAAGCACUUUAAGUUGGGAGGAAGGGCAUUAACCUAAUACGUUAGUGUUUUGACGUUACCGACAGAAUAAGCACCGGCUAACUUCGUGCCAGCAGCCGCGGUAAUACGAAGGGUGCAAGCGUUAAUCGGAAUUACUGUGCGUAAAGCGCGCGUAGGUGGUUCGUUAAGUUGGAUGUGACAGCCCCGAGAUCAACCUGGGAACUGCAUCCAAAACUGGCGAGCUAGAGUACGGUAGAGGGUGGUGGAAUUUCCUGUGUAGCGGUGAAAUGCGUAGAUAUAGGAAGGAACACCAGUGGCGAAGGCGACCACCUGGACUGAUACUGACACUGAGGUGCGAAAGCGUGGGGAGCAAACAGGAUUAGAUACCCUAGUAGUCC
rnacentral:rRNA from 1 species